AGUGAACGCUGGCGGCAGGCCUAAUACAUGCAAGUCGAACGGCAGCACAGCAGAGCUUGCUCUGUGGGUGGCGAGUGGCGGACGGGUGAGGAAUACGUGGGAAUCUGCCCAGUCGUGGGGGGAUAACGUAGGGAAACUUACGCUAAUACCGCAUGCGCCCUUCGGGGGAAAGCCGGGGACCUUCGGGCCUGGCGCGAUUGGAUGAGCCCACGUCGGAUUAGCUAGUUGGCGGGGUAAAGGCCCACCAAGGCGACGAUCCGUAGCUGGUCUGAGAGGAUGAUCAGCCACACUGGAACUGAGACACGGUCCAGACUCCUACGGGAGGCAGCAGUAGGGAAUAUUGGACAAUGGGCGCAAGCCUGAUCCAGCCAUGCCGCGUGAGUGAAGAAGG
rnacentral:rRNA from 1 species